rnacentral:misc_RNA from 1 species
GGUGUUGUAGCACUGUGAUUGUGCAUUUUGCUGGGUUCCUCAAAAGAAUGAGCUUGCCUUGCAGAUUGAGGAAGCUCGGUGGAUGGUCUGAACAGAGUUUGAUGUUCAUUCGAGUUUUCUUGAAUCUCCAAGCCAGGUGUAGCCUCAUCGAACAUAUCAGGAACAGCAGAGUACUCUCGUUGUCUAAGAUCUUGUUCAGCCAAUAUUCUGGUUUCAGCCUGAGACAUCUCGUCUAGAUCAACUCCCGAAGACCUUUUAGUUUGAAUAGGUCUUUCCUCCUGUACGUCAUGUACCCCUUGAAGCAAAUCAUCUGGAGUAGCAGCAGGGUCGAGCUCCCAGCACCCCUCCGGCAAGUUCAUUGUUUCUCUUUUCAGUAAACAAGAUGGCACUUGAUGUGAAAAUCGCAACAUUUCUCUUCUGGGAAUCUUCCGAAUGGCAUCCU